rnacentral:rRNA from 1 species
AACGAACGCUGGCGGCAGGCUUAACACAUGCAAGUCGAGCGCACCGCAAGGUGAGCGGCAGACGGGUGAGUAACGCGUGGGAAUCUACCCAGUUCUGCGGAAUAACACAGGGAAACUUGUGCUAAUACCGCAUACGCCUCCGGGGAAGAUUAUCGGAAUUGGAUGAGCCCGCGUUAGAUUAGCUAGUUGGUGGGGUAAAGGCCUACCAAGGCGACGAUCUAUAGCUGGUCUGAGAGGAUGAUCAGCCACACUGGGACUGAGACACGGCCCAGACUCCUACGGGAGGCAGCAGUGGGGAAUAUUGGACAAUGGGCGAAAGCCUGAUCCAGCCAUGCCGCGUGAGUGAUGAAGGCCUUAGGGUUGUAAAGCUCUUUCAGUGGGGAUGAUAAUGACAGUACCCACAGAAGAAGCCCCGGCUAACUUCGUGCCAGCAGCCGCGGUAAAGUCAGUG